rnacentral:rRNA from 1 species
AGGACGAACGCUGGCGGCGUGCUUAACACAUGCAAGUCGAGCGGAAAGGCCCUUCGGGGUACUCGAGCGGCGAACGGGUGAGUAACACGUGAGCAACCUGCCCCUGGCUCUGGGAUAGCCUCCGGAAACGGGGAUUAAUACCGGACAUGACUCUUGACCGCAUGGUUGGGGGUGGAAAGUUUUUCGGCCAGGGUGGGCUCGCGGCCUAUCAGCUUGUUGGGGGGGUGACGGCCCACCAAGGCGACGACGGGUAG